rnacentral:rRNA from 1 species
UACAGGGGGUGCAAACGUUGCUCGGAAUUAUUGGGCGUAAAGCGCGCGUAGGCGGCCACUUAAGUCGGAUGUGAAAGCCCCUGGCUCAACUGGGGAAGUGCACCCGAAACUGAAUGGCUUGAGUGCGAAAGAGGGUCGCGGAAUUCCCGGUGUAGAGGUGAAAUUCGUAGAUAUCAGGAGGAACACCGGUGGCGAAGGCGGAUCUCUGGGCCUGUUCUGACGCUGAGGCGCGAAAGCUAGGGGAGCGAACAGG